rnacentral:rRNA from 1 species
AGAGCGAACGCUGGCGGCAGGCCUAACACAUGCAAGUCGAGCGCCCCGCAAGGGGAGCGGCAGACGGGGGAGUAACACGUGGGAACGUACCCUUUGGUUCGGAACAACACAGGGAAACUUGUGCUAAUACCGGAUAAGCCCUUACGGGGAAAGAUUUAUUGCCAAAGGAUCGGCCCGCGUCUGAUUAGCUUGUUGGUGAGGUAACGGCUCACCAAGGCUACGAUCAGUAGCUGGUCUGAGAGGAUGAUCAGCCUCACUGGGACUGAGACACGGCCCAGACUCCUACGGGAGGCAGCAGUGGGGAAUAUUGGACAAUGGGCGCAAGCCUGAUCCAGCCAUGCCGCGUGGAUGAUGAAGGCCCUAGGGUUGUAAAGUCCUUUCGACGGGGAAGAUAAUGACGGUACCCGUAGAAGAAGCCCCGGCUAACUUCGUGCCAGCAGCCGC